rnacentral:rRNA from 1 species
UACGUAGGGGGCAAGCGUUGUCCGGAUUCAUUGGGCGUAAAGCGCGUGUAGGCGGCCAGGUAGGUCCGGUGUGAAAACUCGAGGCUCAACCUCGAGAGGUCAUCGGAAACCAUCUGGCUAGAGUCCGGAAGAGGGGAGUGGAAUUCCCGGUGUAGCGGUGAAAUGCGCAGAUAUCGGGAAGAACACCUAUGGCGAAGGCAGCUCUCUGGGACGGUACUGACGCUGAGACGCGAAAGCGUGGGGAGCGAACAGG